rnacentral:rRNA from 1 species
UACGUAGGGUGCGAGCGUUAAUCGGAAUUACUGGGCGUAAAGCGUGCGUAGGCGGUCCGCGAAGUCUGAUGUGAAAGCCCCGGGCUCAACCUGGGAACUGCAUUGGAAACUAACGGGCUCGAGUGUGGCAGAGGGGGGUGGAAUUCCAAGUGUAGCAGUGAAAUGCGUAGAGAUGUGGAGGAACACCGGUGGCGAAGGCAGCCCCCUGGGCUAACACUGACGCUCAGGCACGAAAGCGUGGGGAGCAAACAGG